UGGGGAAUUUUGGACAAUGGGCGCAAGCCUGAUCCAGCCAUGCCGCGUGCGGGAAGAAGGCCUUCGGGUUGUAAACCGCUUUUGUCAGGGAAGAAAUCUUCUGAGUUAAUACCUCGGGAGGAUGACGGUACCUGAAGAAUAAGCACCGGCUAACUACGUGCCAGCAGCCGCGGUAAUACGUAGGGUGCAAGCGUUAAUCGGAAUUACUGGGCGUAAAGCGUGCGCAGGCGGUUUUGUAAGACAGGGGUUGAAAUCCCCGGGCUCAACCUGGGAACUGCCUUUGUGACUGCAAGGCUUGAGUGCGGCAGAGGGGGAUGGAAUUCCGCGUGUAGCAGUGAAAUGCGUAGAUAUGCGGAGGAACACCGAUGGCGAAGGCAAUCCCCUGGGCCUGCACUGACGCUCAUGCACGAAAGCGUGGGGAGCAAACAGGGUUAGAUACCCUGGUAGUCCACGCCCUAAACGAUGUCAACUGGUUGUUGGGAAGGUUCCUUCUCAGUAACGUAGCUAACGCGUGAAGUUGACCGCCUGGGGGAGUACGGCCGCAAGGUUGAAACUCAAAUGAAUUGACGGGGUCAUAGCUGUUUCCU
rnacentral:rRNA from 1 species